GGAUGCGAUCAUACCAGCACUAAAGCACCGGAUCCCAUCAGAACUCCGAAGUUAAGCGUGCUUGGGCGAGAGUAGUACUAGGAUGGGUGACCUCCCGGGAAGUCCUCGUGUUGCAUUCC
rnacentral:rRNA from 2 species